AGCCUCUGGCCCCGCCCCCUAGCAACGCGCUGGCUUGUGUUAACAACCGGCCCGGGAUCAGAGGCCUGGGUCAACUGGGGGGCGGCGGCGGCGCUAAGCGGACUGUAUGGCGGUGGCCUAGGCCCCUGGCGGAAUUUUGGGACCUUUCGCGACUCUAGCGACUCUCAGGCUGCCUUCCCUUCUCGGUGGCGGGGCCUCUUUGGGCCCAGCGGCUGCGGGCGCACUGUAGGACAGGAAGAUCUCCCCACUCUCCACCCCGCCGCCACCGGCCAUGUGGACAGAGGAAGCCGGGGCGACGGCCGAGGCCCAGGAAUCCGGCAUCGGGAACAAGUCUAGCAGUUCCAGUCAAAUCCCGGUGGUUGGGGUGGUGACGGAGGACGAUGAGGCGCAGGGUGUUUUCAAGGCUAUGGACCUUAAUCGUGUCAUCAAACUCCUCGAAGAGACUGAUAAAGUUGGCUUGGAAGAAAAACAACUUAAAUUUGUCAAGAAACUGGUACAGUGUUAUCAGAAUGGACUUCCAUUAAGGGAUUUAGCACAGAUAUUUAAAAUUCUGAAUCUGUGUUCAGGAAAAAUAAAAAACCAGCCUCGUUUUAUAGAAUCUGCAUAUGAUAUCAUAAAACUGUGUGGCUUGCCAUUUUUGAAAAAGAAAGUGUCGGAUGAAAUAACUUAUGCUGAAGAUACUGCUAAUUCAAUUGCACUUCUGGGUGACUUAAUGAAAAUACCAAGUUCUGAAUUGAGGAUACAAAUUUGUAAGUGUAUUGUUGAUUUUUAUCAUGCAGAACCACCAAAGAAGCAUAUUCCAGGUUACCAGCAAGCGAGUUCAUCAUACAAGAUUCAAAUGGCUGAAGUUGGAGGAUUAGCAAAAACAAUGGUCCAGUCAAUGACCUUGCUUGAAAAUCAACUUGUUGAGAAACUUUGGGUACUUAAAGUUCUGCAGCAUCUCUCAACUUCUGAAGUUAAUUGUACUAUAAUGAUGAAAGCACAAGCAGCCAGUGGAAUCUGUACUCACCUCAAUGACCCAGAUCCCUCUGGACAGCUUUUAUUUCGUUCAUCAGAAAUACUUUGGAACUUGCUGGAAAAAUCUUCAAAAGAAGAAGUCAUACAACAGCUUAGUAACUUGGAAUGUUUGCUGGCUUUGAAGGAAGUAUUUAAAAAUCUGUUUAUGAGAGGUUUCAGUCAUUAUGACCGUCAGCUUAGAAAUGACAUAUUAGUGAUCACUACAAUUAUAGCUCAAAAUCCUGAAGCACCAAUGAUUGAAUGUGGCUUUACCAAGGAUUUGAUACUGUUUGCCACCUUUAAUGAAGUUAAAAGUCAAAAUCUUUUGGUAAAAGGACUUAAGCUUUCUAAUUCCUAUGAAGAUUUUGAGUUGAAGAAAUUACUAUUCAAUGUAAUUGUGAUCUUAUGUAAAGAUUUACCUACUGUACAGCUAUUAAUUGAUGGCAAAGUUAUUUUGGCUUUGUUUACCUAUGUUAAGAAGCCUGAGAAGCAAAAAAUAAUUGACUGGUCUGCAGCACAGCAUGAAGAAUUACAACUGCAUGCAAUUGCCACUUUGUCAUCAGUGGCUCCUUUAUUAAUAGAAGAAUACAUGUCAUGCCAGGGAAAUGCUCGAGUCCUUGCAUUUCUAGAAUGGUGUGAGAGUGAAGAUCCAUUUUUCAGUCAUGGUAACAGUUUUCAUGGUACAGGUGGCCGAGGCAACAAGUUUGCCCAGAUGCGUUACAGUUUAAGACUCCUGAGAGCCAUGGUCUACCUUGAAGAUGAGACGGUAAACAAAGAUCUUUGUGAAAAGGGAACAAUUCAGCAAAUGAUAGGAAUCUUUAAAAAUAUGAUAAGCAAGCCUAAUGAAAAGGAAGAAGCCAUUGUUUUGGAAAUCCAGUCUGAUAUAUUACUUAUCCUAUCUGGUCUUUGUGAGAAUCACAUUCAAAGGAAGGAAAUUUUCGGAACUGAAGGAGUAGAUAUAGUUCUUCAUGUGAUGAAAACAGACCCCAGGAAGUUACAGAGUGGCUUAGGCUAUAAUGUACUUCUUUUUAGUACAUUGGACAGCAUUUGGUGCUGUAUUUUGGGAUGUUAUCCCUCAGAGGAUUAUUUUCUUGAAAAGGAAGGCAUUUUUCUCCUUUUGGAUUUGUUAGCAUUGAACCAAAAAAAAUUCUGUAAUCUAAUACUUGGAAUAAUGGUUGAAUUUUGUGAUAAUCCCAAAACUGCAGCUCAUGUCAAUGCUUGGCAAGGGAAGAAGGAUCAGACAGCUGCUAGUCUUUUAAUUAAAUUGUGGAGAAAGGAGGAAAAAGAACUAGGAGUAAAACGUGAUAAAAAUGGGAAGAUCAUUGAUACAAAAAAACCUCUAUUUACUAGCUUUCAAGAAGAGCAAAAAAUCAUCCCACUGCCUGCUAACUGCCCAUCUAUUGCGGUUAUGGAUGUUUCUGAGAAUAUUAGAGCAAAAAUUUAUGCUAUAUUGGGCAAACUAGAUUUUGAAAAUUUACCUGGCCUAUCUGCUGAAGAUUUUGUCACCCUUUGUAUCAUACAUAGAUAUCUUGAUUUUAAAGCAGAGUCUCAUCCUGUCACCUAGCCUAAAGUGCAGUUGCAUGAUCACAACUCACUGCAGCCUCAACCUCCCAGGCUCAUUUGAUCCUCCAGCCUCAUCUUCCCAAGUAGCUGGGACUACAAAUUGGAGAAAUAUGGAAUGAAAUAUAUGAGGAAAUAAAAUUAGAAAAAUUAAGACCAGUCACUACAGAUAAAAAAGCUUUGGAAGCUAUUACAACAGCAUCAGAAAAUAUUGGAAAGAUGGUUGCUUCUCUGCAAAGUGAUAUAAUUGAAAGCCAAGCAUGCCAAGACGUGCAAAAUGAACAAAAAGUAUAUGCAAAAAUACAGGCCACGCACAAGCAAAGAGAGCUGGCUAAUAAAUCAUGGGAAGAUUUCUUGGCUAGAACAUCAAACGCUAAAGCGUUAAAGAAAGCAAAAAGGCUUCAAGAAAAAGCUAUAGAAGCCUCCAGAUACCAUAAACGACCACAAAAUGCAAUAUUUCACCAAACAGAUAUUAAAGGCCUUAACACAACGGUGCCCUCUGGUGGGGUAGUAACAGUGGAAAGCACUCCUGCCCGAUUAGUAGGAGGACCUCUGGUUGAUACGGAUAUUGCUCUUAAAAAACUGCCCAUUCGAGGAGGAGCCUUGCAGAGGGUGAAAGCAGUUAAAAUUGUGGAUGCACCAAAAAAGAGUAUUCCUACGUAAUAUACUAUAGAGACUUUUUGAAAUAAAGUCAGCUUGUAAUUUU